GGGCUUCGGCCUGGUGGCGAGUGGCGAACGGGUGAGUAAUGUAUCGGAACGUGCCCAGUAGCGGGGGAUAACUACGCGAAAGCGUGGCUAAUACCGCAUACGCCCUACGGGGGAAAGCGGGGGACCUUCGGGCCUCGCACUAUUGGAGCGGCCGAUAUCGGAUUAGCUAGUUGGUGGGGUAACGGCCUACCAAGGCGACGAUCCGUAGCUGGUUUGAGAGGACGACCAGCCACACUGGGACUGAGACACGGCCCAGACUCCUACGGGAGGCAGCAGUGGGGAAUUUUGGACAAUGGGGGCAACCCUGAUCCAGCCAUCCCGCGUGUGCGAUGAAGGCCUUCGGGUUGUAAAGCACUUUUGGCAGGAAAGAAACGGCACGGGCUAAUAUCCUGUGCAACUGACGGUACCUGCAGAAUAAGCACCGGCUAACUACGUGCCAGCAGCCGCGGUAAUACGUAGGGUGCAAGCGUUAAUCGGAAUUACUGGGCGUAAAGCGUGCGCAGGCGGUUCGGAAAGAAAGAUGUGAAAUCCCAGGGCUUAACCUUGGAACUGCAUUUUUAACUACCGGGCUAGAGUGUGUCAGAGGGAGGUGGAAUUCCGCGUGUAGCAGUGAAAUGCGUAGAUAUGCGGAGGAACACCGAUGGCGAAGGCAGCCUCCUGGGAUAACACUGACGCUCAUGCACGAAAGUGUGGGGAGCAAACAGGAUUAGAUACCCUGGUAGUCCACGCCCUAAACGAUGUCAACUAGCUGUUGGGGCCUUCGGGCCUUGGUAGCGCAGCUAACGCGUGAAGUUGACCGCCUGGGGAGUACGGUCGCAAGAUUAAAACUCAAAGGAAUUGACGGGGACCCGCACAAGCGGUGGAUGAUGUGGAUUAAUUCGAUGCAACGCGAAAAACCUUACCUACCCUUGACAUGUCUGGAAUCCCGAAGAGAUUUGGGAGUGCUCGCAAGAGAACCGGAACACAGGUGCUGCAUGGCUGUCGUCAGCUCGUGUC
rnacentral:rRNA from 1 species